GGCGGCGUGGAUAAGACAUGCAAGUCGAACGAUUAUCAUCGGGUAGCAAUAUUCGGUGGUGAGAGUGGCGCAAGGGUGCGUAACACGUGGGUAAUUUGCCGUAAAGUCUGGAAUAACUUGCUGAAAGGCGAGCUAAUACCGGAUGUGAUUGCUGGAGGGCAUCCUCUGGCACUUAAAGUCGGGGAUCGUAAGACCUGACACUUUUCGAUAAGCCCGCGGCCUAUCAGCUAGUUGGUGAGGUAACGGCUCACCAAGGCUAAGACGGGUAGCUGGUCUGAGAGGACGACCAGCCACACUGGAACUGAGACACGGUCCAGACACCUACGGGUGGCAGCAGUCGAGAAUUUUUCUCAAUGGGGGAAACCCUGAAGGAGCGACGCCGCGUGGGGGAUGAAUGGCUUCGGCCCGUNAACCCCUGUCAUUUGCGAUCAAACCUUACGACCUAACACGUCGU
rnacentral:rRNA from 1 species